rnacentral:lncRNA from 1 species
UUUUUUUUUUCCUAGAAAAGCCACUUGUUUUAAUGGAAUGGUCAGCCUGUCAGGGAGAACACAGCACACUUAAUUGGCAGCCAUAGAGCAGAUGGUUCCUGGAGCCCAUUCAUGCACCUGAUACGGCUAAAACAGUUACUGAAAGGCCAACAUGUGGUUUUUAAAUCGCAGGGAACUGAAUAUUAUGAAAAAUCCACUCAUAAUUUGUGAUAUCAUUUAGUAUUUCACAAACUAUUAAUUCCCAGAGUGUUCUGUGAAUAAAGGCAUCGCAGAGAGAAAUUGAAAACAUUCUUUAUGAUAUGUGUUCUGGACACUCAGUUUCUCAAUGAAUUCUCAAUUGGCUCUCAGCUUUAAAAAGUUAGGACUUCCCAAGUUUGUGCUGUUCAACAUCAGUAUUCUGAAGUGUACUGCUCUGUGUUCAGCUAAGUGCUUUCUUACUUAUCAUUCAUUCAUUCAUUCAUUCAUCAAAUACUGUGCAUCUCUGAAAUACAAGAUACCGUGAGGAAGCAAAAACUAUUGACUUAAUCUCUUCCCUUAGGGAGCUUAAUAUUCAGAAUAGGGGUAACACCAGCAUGUAAUUUAUUUGUAAAACACAGAUUGGUGUAGUAAAUGACAAAGAAGUACUCAGUGUCCUGGGGAGGCUAAGAAGGAAGAGAUUCCCUGGGUUUGGGGAUCUUUUGAAAUCUUUGCAGAGGAGAGAGCACUUGCUCUGAGCUCCGAAGGAUGGGGAGGAUUUCACCACUGCAGUUGUAGGAUGGUGACAUGGCGACACCAUAAGCAGUGAUGUCCAGACAGAAUUGUGUGACAAGUAUACUGACAGGCAAUCUAAUCAAAAUGGUAAGGUUGAUGACCACAGUGAUCUAUUGCUGCUCAAAUUACAUUGAACUAUUUGGUUUCCUAUAACACACUGACCCCAGCAUUCCAAUAAUUUUUAAUGGUUAAUGGCUUCAUGCUAUUCCUAUUAGAACUCCUCCAAGUGAAUAAAACAAUGAAUAUAGUAAUGUACAUCAACAUUUAAUAAAUACAAACAGCCUUCUUUAGAAUGUAAUAAAAACCCAUGACCAUUUUUAUUAGAUCUUUGAGAGUCAAAGUUGAGACACAUAAACUUUGCUUUGAUAGAAUGUUCCAUGACAUUAGGACUUCUGUAUUUUAAACUGACAGCCACUAAAUUUUCUAGGCUUUUGUUUCCUAACCUGCAAAGCAGGCACUUAGACCACUUGAUCCAAAUAACUUCUGGCUGUAUGAUUCUCUAAACACACCUUAACUCAAUAGCACAUGGCUAUAUAUUAUCAGGUGCCAUCUAGAUAUUGUCCAAAUGCAACAGGUUCUCAAACAUCAGUGCCUGACUCUAUCAUGAAACCUAAUAAUUUUAUAAAACCAUCAUUUUUCAAGUUAGAAGACAAGAAAGUGCCCAGACACAGAAGUGUCAAAAAGCAGCCAUCUGGUAUUGUGUUGAGAAUACCCCCUAGAACCCUUGAGCUCUGCCUGAAGGGAAAAGAAGCUCGGGGCAGUAGAGGAAGCAGAUGUAGUGGACAGGGAAGUGCACUGACUGGGAAUAGGAAAUGUGUUCUGUUCUCAGCUCUGCCACAGAUUAGCUGUGUGACCCUGGAUAAGUCCUUUCAACAUUCUGGGCGCCAGCUCUCUGGCUAUAAAGAAACUGAUCUGAGUGAUGCCUCAGAUCCACUUUAGCUCUGCACAAAUCUUCGAUUCUGUGUGAGACGUAUGAUUCAACGUCUUGGUGCUAAACCAUAGCAGAAAUGCUCCAUUUCACAAACAAACAAAAAAAAAAAAAAAAAAAAAAAAAGAACAUGUAUCAUUAUUUUACACAAGCAAUUGACAGAAGCCUUUCCUAUCAGCACUUCUGUUCCAGUCCAAGGCCCUGCUUUUAUUGCUGAGUCUUCUGAUUAAAACCAAUCGUUCCCAGUGUAAAUGUUUCUGCUUUUCUCCUGAGCCCUUCCAGGAGGGUUUCUGAACCUCAUGCUCCCGUUCCACUCAGUUAUAUGGGAAACAAGACUCUCUUGGUACUUCCCAUUGCCAAAAAUGUUAUGUAUUCAGCCCAGAGCCCCAAGUUAUUAGCCUGGAAGAUAAGCAGAAAAAUAAUUGAAACUCAGAACAGCUGCAGUCCCUGCUAGGUCCUUCUAUUUCUAGUAAUUAAGUACUAAAGGGAACUUAGCAAAUGUGAGUCUUUUCAUUUGUUUGCAAAGGUCAUGAAACAACUGCAAAAAAUAAAUGAAGGUUAUGACAGGUUAGAGAACACAUGUAUUUAGGAAACAGUUACCGGCAGAAAGGUGAUCUUUGCAUUAAGGUAACUUUUAUCCUUACUUUAUAUGAACUCUGUUCCUGGUUUAAAAAAAAAUUGGAAUCUCAAACAAAAUUCCUGUUUGUCAAGAAAGUUAAGCUUCAUUUUACGUAUAUAUUUUUUCUUAUCUUCAUUCAUUCAAUCACUGACUCACUCAUUUCUUGAAAAAGCACGUGGCUUCAGGAGCACCUGGUUCACUCUGGUUCAGGGCCCCAGGGGAGAGUAUGUUCACCACAUAGCUGCCACAUUCCACACUGAGCAUAAAUGAUAGCCUCCUUCUGCCUGUGAAUUUUCUCAUUAAUGAUCUAAGAUAUUCUAAUGAUUAUUGCCUCUUGUCCCACCCUCAUUCACACACACACACACACACACACACACACACACACACAGGCAAAACAUGCUUUGAAAAGAAUUUUAGAAGUUUUUAUCAUGUUACUUUCUUGUGUAGAAAGUGAAACAAUUUAUAUAUUCUUUCCCCCUUCAUUUAUCAGUAGGGUAAAAUGAUUCCAGGGCACACAGUGAAAUGAAUUCUAAGGUAAAUAAAACUAUGUAAUAUGGUGGAUAAGUAAUAGUUAUAAACCUAAAGAAGAGCCAAAAGAUAAAAAGCCUGUGCAAUCAAUAGAAGAAAAGCUAAAGGUACUCCAGAAAUGCUCUAGGAUGAGCAAAAUCUGGUAGACUCGAGGGCGCAGGCUUUCAGAGGCUUCAUGACUCAGUGGUGGAGGAGGUUGCACUCAAAGCCUUUGGAGUCUGGAGAGUUUAGCUGCAGCGCAUUUUAAAAUCUGGAGGGCACUUGAGGUUGAUUGGUCAGUGCUCUCCAGGGAGAGGAGCUGACUGGGCUGUCCUGCUACAGGGAGUCCUAGCUGCAGUCCUAGGAAGCAGCUAGUAUUACUGUAUUUUUCAUCAACAAAAAAAUAUUUUAGAACUAAAGCUUACACAAUGAAGGAAAUUUCCCAAAGUCUCGAAGCUUUGACUCACUGUCUGAGUCAGUGCUCACAGGCAGAUCCACUCCAAUUCCAGAGCAGAUCUUGGCUACACAGACUCCCAGGGGCAGGUAGUUGUGUGUUCCAAGUACUUUGCUCUUCCCAUGCCCCUGAUUCUCCUGGAAACUUAUUACAUGCGUGGUAAUUCUUAGUUUCCCAUUCACUUCUCAUAUUAAGUACUGUAAAACUUCUCUAAGAACCUCAAAUCUGAUUGAAUCAUUGUUAAAUGCAUGUUAAAAAAAAUAC